GGCAUUGUUUUAAUGAGAAAGCAAACGAUUGCCUCAAAGCUGCUUAAAUAUUGUAGUUUCUAACGAUAAAAUGAAACUUUGUAAGAAGAAGUUGUCCUAUUUUUUAUCAAAUUUCAACGUAUAUUGAACAGUGAUACUGUCGUCGCAGAAUAGAUAAGGUAAUCUAUUCUGUGUCUUUGUUUUACAUAACAAUAAAGGCCCAAAAUUAUUUGCCCCGUAUCCACUCAAGCGACGCAGACAUUUGACGCUUAACUCUUCAGAACGUUGAAUUUAUCUGAAAGAUUGAAUGUUCAAAGUCCCAACCGUCGACCAGCAAAAGAUGGAAUCGUCAGGAAUAAGAAAUCUGUCUUACAUUCAGCAAAUAAUUAACGUGGUGCAAAAGGAACUUGCUCAGUUUUUCAUUAAACAAUGGAACUCUCGUUACAAAUCAACUUAUGGAGAAUGGGAUGAUACACACAACAGUGGUAACAAAUUUUACAAUUUAGAAUCAAGAAGAAAGUUAGACCAAAAAACUCGACAAAAA